GUCCUACGGGAGGCAGCAGUGAGGAAUAUUGGUCAAUGGGCUUACGCCUGAACCAGCCAAGUCGCGUGAGGGAAGACUGCCCUAUGGGUUGUAAACCUCUUUUGUCAGGGAGCAAGGGACAGGUCGUGACCUGUUGUGAGAGUACCUGAAGAAAAAGCAUCGGCUAACUCCGUGCCAGCAGCCGCGGUAAUACGGAGGAUGCGAGCGUUAUCCGGAUUUAUUGGGUUUAAAGGGUGCGCAGGCGGAGGCACAAGUCAGCGGUAAAAUCGCGGGGCUCAACCCCGCUCCGCCGUUGAAACUGUGUC
rnacentral:rRNA from 1 species